GAUGAACGCUGGCGGCGUGCCUAAUACAUGCAAGUCGAGCGAACAGACGAGGAGCUUGCUCCUCUGACGUUAGCGGCGGACGGGUGAGUAACACGUGGAUAACCUACCUAUAAGACUGGGAUAACUUCGGGAAACCGGAGCUAAUACCGGAUAAUAUAUUGAACCGCAUGGUUCAAUAGUGAAAGACGGUUUUGCUGUCACUUAUAGAUGGAUCCGCGCCGCAUUAGCUAGUUGGUAAGGUAACGGCUUACCAAGGCAACGAUGCGUAGCCGACCUGAGAGGGUGAUCGGCCACACUGGAACUGAGGCACGGUCAAGACUCCUACGGGAGGCAGCAGUAGGGAAUCUUCCGCAAUGGGCGAAAGCCUGACGGAGCAACGCCGCGUGAGUGAUGAAGGUCUUCGGAUCGUAAAACUCUGUUAUUAGGGAAGAACAAAUGUGUAAGUAACUAUGCACGUCUUGACGGUACCUAAUCAGAAAGCCACGGCUAACUACGUG
rnacentral:rRNA from 1 species